AACGAACGCUGGCGGCGUGCUUAACACAUGCAAGUCGAGUGCGCGGUUGUAGCAAUACAACUGGCGCACGGCGCACGGGUGCGUAACACGUGGGCAAUCUGCCCUCCGAUGGGGAAUAACUCCGGGAAACCGAAGCUAAUUCCGCAUAACAUUCCCUGGACUCCGGUUCGGGGAUUCAAGGCAGCAAUGCGUCGGAGGAG
rnacentral:rRNA from 1 species